rnacentral:ncRNA from 1 species
GUGAGCCGUAUACGCUGAGAGGUGUACGUACGGUUCUUGGGGAGAGUAUUUGAAAACCUGCUAGAUAUAGUAAGGCGUUGAAUGCUUAUCCUAC